GAUGAACGCUGGCGGCGUGCCUAAUACAUGCAAGUCGAGCGAACGGACGAGAAGCUUGCUUUUCUGAUGUUAGCGGCGGACGGGUGAGUAACACGUGGAUAACCUACCUAUAAGACUGGGAUAACUUCGGGAAACCGGAGCUAAUACCGGAUAAUAUUUUGAACCGCAUGGUUCAAAAGUGAAAGACGGUCUUGCUGUCACUUAUAGAUGGAUCCGCGCUGCAUUAGCUAGUUGGUAAGGUAACGGCUUACCAAGGCAACGAUGCAUAGCCGACCUGAGAGGGUGAUCGGCCACACUGGAACUGAGACACGGUCCAGACUCCUACGGGAGGCAGCAGUAGGGAAUCUUCCGCAAUGGGCGAAAGCCUGACGGAGCAACGCCGCGUGAGUGAUGAAGGUCUUCGGAUCGUAAAACUCUGUUAUUAGGGAAGAACAUAUGUGUAAGUAACUGUGCACAUCUUGACGGUACCUAAUCAGAAAGCCACGGCUAACUACGUGCCAGCAGCCGCGGUAAUACGUAGGUGGCAAGCGUUAUCCGGAAUUAUUGGGCGUAAAGCGCGCGUAGGCGGUUUUUUAAGUCUGAUGUGAAAGCCCACGGCUCAACCGUGGAGGGUCAUUGGAAACUGGAAAACUUGAGUGCAGAAGAGGAAAGUGGAAUUCCAUGUGUAGCGGCGAAAUGCGCAGAGAUGUGGAGGAACACCAGUGGCGAGGGCGACUUUCUGGUCUGUAACUGACGCUGAUGUGCGAAAGCGUGGGGAUCAAACAGGAUUAGAUACCCUGGUAGUCCACGCCGUAAACGAUGAGUGCUAAGUGUUAGGGGGUUUCCGCCCCUUAGUGCUGCAGCUAACGCAUUAAGCACUCCGCCUGGGGAGUACGACCGCAAGGUUGAAACUCAAAGGAAUUGACGGGGGCCCGCACAAGCGGUGGAGCAUGUGGUUUAAUUCGAAGCAACGCGAAGAACCUUACCAAAUCUUGACAUCCUUUGACAACUCUAGAGAUAGAGCCUUCCCCUUCGGGGGACAAAGUGACAGGUGGUGCAUGGUUGUCGUCAGCUCGUGUCGUGAGAUGUUGGGUUAAGUCCCGCAACGAGCGCAACCCUUAAGCUUAGUUGCCAUCAUUAAGUUGGGCACUCUAAGUUGACUGCCGGUGACAAACCGGAGGAAGGUGGGGAUGACGUCAAAUCAUCAUGCCCCUUAUGAUUUGGGCUACACACGUGCUACAAUGGACAAUACAAAGGGCAGCGAAACCGCGAGGUCAAGCAAAUCCCAUAAAGUUGUUCUCAGUUCGGAUUGUAGUCUGCAACUCGACUACAUGAAGCUGGAAUCGCUAGUAAUCGUAGAUCAGCAUGCUACGGUGAAUACGUUCCCGGGUCU
rnacentral:rRNA from 1 species